rnacentral:rRNA from 1 species
AAAUUGAAGAGUUUGAUCAUGGCUCAGAUUGAACGCUGGCGGCAGGCCUAACACAUGCAAGUCGAACGGUAACAGGAAGCAGCUUGCUGCUUUGCUGACGAGUGGCGGACGGGUGAGUAAUGUCUGGGAAACUGCCUGAUGGAGGGGGAUAACUACUGGAAACGGUAGCUAAUACCGCAUAACGUCGCAAGACCAAAGAGGGGGACCUUCGGGCCUCUUGCCAUCGGAUGUGCCCAGAUGGGAUUAGCUAGUAGGUGGGGUAACGGCUCACCUAGGCGACGAUCCCUAGCUGGUCUGAGAGGAUGACCAGCCACACUGGAACUGAGACACGGUCCAGACUCCUACGGGAGGCAGCA